UACGAACGCUGGCGGCGUGCUUAACACAUGCAAGUCGAACGAUGAAGAAAAGAAUUGAAGCUUCGGCAGAAAUUCAUUUCGGAUUAGUGGCAGACGGGUGAGUAACGCGUGAGCAACCUACCUCUUACAAAGGGAUAGCCUUGGGAAACCGGGAUUAAUACCAUAUAACAUUGCGACGAAGCAUUUCGAUGCAAUCAAAGCUACGGCGGUAAGAGAUGGGCUCGCGUCCCAUUAACCAGAUGGUGAGGUAACGGCUCACCAUAGUAACGAUGGGUAACCGGCCUGAGAGGGUGAACGGUCACACUGGAACUGAGACACGGUCCAGACUCCUACGGGAGGCAGCAGUGGGGAAUAUUGCACAAUGGAGGGAACUCUGAUGCAGCGACGCCGCGUGAGUGAUGAAGGAAUUCGUUUCGUAAAACUCUGUUCUAUGGGAAGAAAAGGACUGUACCAUAGGAGAAAGCUCCGGCUAAAUACGUG
rnacentral:rRNA from 1 species